GGAGGAAGGGAAUGGGCAACGGUAGGUCAGCAUGCCCCGAAUUAUCCGGGCUACACGCGGGCUACAAUGGUCAGGACAAUGGGCAUCAACACCGAAAGGUGAAGGCAAUCUCUUAAACCUGUCCUUAGUUCGGAUCGUGGGCUGCAACUCGCCCACAUGAAGCUGGAAUCCGUAGUAAUCGCGUUUCAAAAUAGCGCGGUGAAUAUGUCCCUGCUCCUU
rnacentral:rRNA from 1 species